AAAUCUGUGUCGUGCAUGAAUGACUUGUAAAGUUUGAGAAAGAACAAUUUCAUUUAAAUUAAGAUUUCAUCAUUUAUAAGAUUUAGAUUUUUUAAAAGUCUUAAUAAUUAAUUUUCAAAAUUGUAGUAACAACUGAAUUGUUUUGAAAUUACAUAGACUGAUAGUACAAGAAUAAAUUAUUUGAUAUAUGCUAUUCCGAGGCUUGUUAAAGAUUGCAGCUUCGUAACCCAGUUGGGCGUCACGAAACAAUUUUUCAGACGCGUCUUCAAUUGAACGCUGCGUUGUUAUACAGGGUGUAUAAAAAAAACUGAACAGAUUUGAGAUUGCUCUCAAUUUCGCAAAAUACCUAUUUGUAUCCGGUUUUUUAUAUAUAUAGCUUCUUUGGGAACUUAUAAUGUAAAAUAAUGAAAAAAAUUUCUCGAACUCAAAUUUUGUGAAUCAGGGGGUGUAUCUUUUCCAAGAAACUAAAAAUGGCUCGCGCACAAAAUUUAAAGGUUUAAAUAAUAUUUUGAGUUAAUAGACGGAAAAUUUGUUGGGUUUUUAAUAAAUGUACAAAAUGUCAUACAAUUUGGUUUAGUUUAAUUCCUUUAACUAUUCAUUUUAUUCUAAAAAAUCAGCCUUUCGCAUGCUUAAUAUUAGCCUUUACCUAAUUUGCAUAUUGCUGACAUAUGCAAAUUAGGAAAAUGCAUAAUUAAGCAUGCAAAUAGCUGAUAUUUAGGAAAAAUGUAACUUUGCGUGAAUAGUUAAAGGGCUUAAACUAAACCAAAUUGUC